UACGUAGGGACCGAGCGUUGUCCGGAUUCAUUGGGCGUAAAGCGCGCGUAGGCGGUUACUCAAGUCGGAUGUGAAAGCCCUCGGCUUAACUGAGGAAGUGCACCCGAAACUGAGUAGCUAGAGUACCAAAGAGGGUCGCGGAAUUCCCGGUGUAGAGGUGAAAUUCGUAGAUAUCGGGAGGAACACCGGUGGCGAAGGCGGCGACCUGGGUGGAUACUGACGCUGAGGCGCGAAAGCGUGGGGAGCAAACAGG
rnacentral:rRNA from 1 species